CUAAUACAUGCUGAAAACCCCGACUUCGGAAGGGGUGUAUUUAUUAGAUAAAAAACCAAUGCCCUUCGGGGCUACUUGGUGAUUCAUAAUAACUUAACGGAUCGCAUGGCCUUGCGCCGGCGACGGUUCAUUCAAAUUUCUGCCCUAUCAACUUUCGAUGGUAAGGUAUUGGCUUACCAUGGUUUCAACGGGUAACGGGGAAUAAGGGUUCUAUUCCGGAGAGGGAGCCUGAGAAACGGCUACCACAUCCAAGGAAGGCAGCAGGCGCGCAAAUUACCCAAUCCCGACACGGGGAGGUAGUGACAAUAAAUACUGAUACAGGGCUCUUUUGGGUCUUGUAAUUGGAAUGAGUACAAUUUAAAUCCCUUAACGAGGAACAAUUGGAGGGCAAGUCUGGUGCCAGCAGCCGCGGUAAUUCCAGCUCCAAUAGCGUAUAUUAAAGUUGUUGCAGUUAAAAAGCUCGUAGUUGAACCUUGGGCCUGGCUGGCCGGUCCGCCUCACCGCGUGUACUGGUCCGGCCGGGCCUUUCCUUCUGGAGAGCCCCAUGCCCUUCACUGGGUGUGCGGGGGAACCAGGACUUUUACUUUGAAAAAAUUAGAGUGUUCAAAGCAGGCCUUUGCUCGAAUACGUUAGCAUGGAAUAAUAGAAUAGGACGUGUGGUUCUAUUUUGUUGGUUUCUAGAACCGCCGUAAUGAUUAAUAGGGAUAGUCGGGGGCAUCAGUAUUCAAUUGUCAGAGGUGAAAUUCUUAGAUUUAUUGAAGACUAACUACUGCGAAAGCAUUUGCCAAGGAUGUUUUCAUUAAUCAGUGAACGAAAGUCAGGGGAUCGAAGACGAUCAGAUACCGUCGUAGUCUUGACCGUAAACUAUGCCGACUAGGGAUCGGGCG
rnacentral:rRNA from 1 species